rnacentral:rRNA from 1 species
AUGGAACACUUUGAAAAUUCUGUGGAGGAGAACAAUGAAGUUCCUACUAGGAGCAAGAGACAGAGGAUUGCAAAGUCCUUUGGUGAUGAUUUUCUUGUGUAUCUCAUAGAUGACACUCCCAGUUCUAUUUCAGAGGCAUAUGCAUCUGAAGAUGCUGACUACUGGAAGGAAGCGGUUCAUAGCGAGAUGGAUUCCAUCUUGGCGAAUGAAACUUGGGAGAUAACUGAUCGUCCUUAUGGGUGCAAACCUAUAGGAUGCAAAUGGGUAUUCAAGAAGAAGCUUAGGCCUGAUGGUACUAUUGAAAAGUACAAGGCUCGGCUCGUGGCUAAGGGUUAUACCCAAAAGGAAGGUGAAGACUUCUUUGAUACUUACUCACCUGCGGCUCGACUGACCACUAUUCGAGUUCUACUUUCACUAGCUGCCUCACAUGGUCUUCUUUUUCAUCAAAUGGAUGUUAAGACUGCUUUCCUAAAUGGAGAGUUGGACGAGGAAAUUUAUAUGGAACAACCAGAUGGGUUUGUACUAGAUGGUCAGGAAGGAAAAGUGUGCAAGUUGCUGAAGUCUUUGUAUGGACUCAAGCAAUCACCCAAACAGUGGCAUGAGAAGUUUGGAAGAACUUUAACCACUGCAGGCUUCGUUGUAAACGAAGCUGAUAAAUGUGUGUACUAUCGCCAUGGUGGGGGCGACGGAGUUAUUCUUUGCUUGUAUGUUGAUGACAUACUGAUUUUCGAAACAAAUCUGAAUGUUAUUAAGGAGGUCAAGGAUUUCCUAUCUCGUUGUUUUGAGAUGAAGGAUUUAGGAGUGGUUGAUGUCAUUUUGAACAUCAAGUUGUUGAGAGACGAUGAUGGUGGGAUUACAUUGCUUCAAUCUCACUAUGUGGAAAAGAUCUUGAGUCGCUUUGGCUAUAGUGACUGCAAGUCCUCUCCAACACCAUAUGAUGCGACCAGUGCUACAAGACCUGACAUCUCUUUUGCUGUUAGCAAACUGAGUCGGUUUGUCUCAAAACCAGGAGAUGUGCAUUGGAAAGCUCUAGAGAGAGUUUUGCGUUAUUUGAAAGGCACUGCGAAUUAUGGAAUUCACUACACUGGGCACCCAAAGGUGCUUGAAGGGUAUAGUGACUCAAACUGGAUCUCAGAUGCUGAUGAGAUAAAGGCCACGAGCGGUUAUGUAUUCACUCAUGGAGGUGAUACAGCUACGGUCAAAGCAGAUUGGCUUCGUCGGCUCUUGAAUGACUUGCCGGUUGUUGAGAAACCUGUACCGGGUAUCCUUAUGAACUGCGACAAUCAAACUGUGAUCACGAAAGUGAGCAGCUCAAAGGAUAACAUGAAGUCAUCAAGACACGUUCAUAGAAGGUUAAAGUCUGUCAGGAAAAUGAGAAACUCCGGAGUUAUUGCAUUGGAUUAUAUCCAAACGUCUAAAAAUCUGGCAGAUCCUUUUACUAAGGGUCUAUCGCGUAAUGUGAUAGAUAAUGCAUCGAGGAGAUGGGUAUGA